AUGUAGUUCUUCCUGGAGCUAUACUUCAAUGUAGACAAUGGCUACUUGGAGGGACUGGUGCACAGCCUCAAGGCUCGGGUGCUCAGCUAAGCCGACUACUUCAACCUGGUGUGGUGCAAAACGCUAGAAGACUUGAAGUUGCACCUGCAGGGCACAGACUAUGGCAACUUCCUGGCCACUGAAGCCUCACCUCUGACAGUGUCAGUCAUCGAUGAUAGGCUCAAGGAGAUGGUGGUUUAGUUCCACCACAUGAGGAAACAUGCAUAUGAGCCAUUUGCCAGCUUCCUGGACUUUAUUACUUACAGCUACAUGAUUGAUGAUGUGAUCCUGCUCAUCAUGGGCAUGCUGCACCAGUGCUUCAUUGCUGAGUUUGUACCCAAGUGCCACCCAGUAGGCAGCUUCGAACAGAUGGAGGCUGUGAACUUCUCACAGACACCUGCUGAGCUGUAGAAUGCCAUUCUGGUGGACAUGCCCCUGGCGUCUUUCGUCCAGGACUGCAUCUCAGAACAGGACCUUGAUGAGAUGAACAUUGAGAUCAUCCGCAACACACUCUACAAGGCUUACCUGGAGUCCUUCUGCAAGUUCUGUACCUUACUGGGCAGGACCACAGCUGAGGCCACGUGUCCCAUCCUGGAGUCUGAAGCAGACAGCCGCGCCUUCAUCUUCACCAUCAACUCUUUUGGCACAGAGCUGUCUAAGGAGGACCGUGCCAAGCUCUUCCCAUAUUGUGGACGCCUCUACCCUUAAGGCCUGGCUCAGCUGGCUUGGGCUGAUAACUAUGAGCAGGUCAAGAAUGUGGCCGAUUACUAUGUGGAAUACAGGCUGAUUUUUGAGGGUGCAGGCAGCAAUCUUGGAGACAAGACCAUGGAGGACUAAUUCUUUGAGCAUGAGGUAAAACUGAACAAGUUGGCCUUCCUGAAUCAGUUCCACUUUGGAGUCCUCUAUACCUUUGUGAACUCAAGAAGCAGGAGUGUCGAAAUAUUGUGUGGAAUGCUGAAUGCAUUGAUCAGCGCCACCACACGAAGAUUGACAACUAUAUUCCCAUCUUCCAGCAUCCUGACCCAAGGCUUCCAAGUGUCCUGUGUGUGUUUGUGUGUGCUGUGAUGAAGCCUAUGGUUCACCUGCCUGUCCUGGGGGUGGGCAGCACGUUGUCUUGGGGGCUGUACAGCUUCCCUGACACCUCCCUGCCCUACCCCAAAUCUUAG